ACUCGGCAAAUUGUACUUACGGAUUUCGGAUGUGAUUGUGGAAUGUGUUUUAGUUUCAAACAUUUGUUAUGAUUUAUGAGAAUUUGGUGUCGCAAAAACUGGUGAACAGUGCCAGAAGAAGUACCAAAAUUCCAAGGCUCGGUAGUGUACCAGUCAUGAAAGUAGAGGCAUGAAGUGGAAAGAAUCGCUCACAAAGAAGACCGACAAGAGAUCACAAGCCGAUACCUUAACAAAACUUACAGAGAAACCGAUGGGAAAUAACUAAGAAAAAUAAGAAUAAGAAAUAAAAAAGUUGACUGUAGAAAUUGAAAUAAUACAUUUGGAGAAAAAGAUGUGUUUAGUGUCAAUACGUGACCAAGUGCUAUAACUCUGACAUGUAAUAUACUAGUAGUAGAUUUAUUCCCCUUUUUGUAAUUAAAAGGAUGUUAUUAUUUUUUGUGCAACUACUUCAUAACUCUAUUAUUUCUAAAAUAGAUAGUCUAUAUUAGAAAUAAUAGAGUUAUGAAGCAGUUGCACACAAAAUAAAAAAAAAUUAAUUCAAAAAGGGGCAUACUAUUAUUUCUAUGAUAAAAAUAUGAUUCUAUCCCUUUUUGUACUUAUAAAAUUCCAGUCAAUAUUUGUGUGCUUUAAGAAAUGUAGGUUAAAUAUUACAUUGGUCAUUGUUUUAUGUUACUGACAGAUAAAAUACAUUCUACAUUCAAAGAGGAAUAUUAGUUGAAUGCGGUGUCUUGGGACACUUCUUGGUAUUAUUUGCUUACAAGAUAUACAUCAUUAAUAAUAAUAAAAUUCUUCAUUCAAUGAACUGAAUGAAAUUCCAGAAUAAUGGUAGAUACAGUAAUGUGAAUUUGAAAUUAGACAUCAACAAAUCCUGGCAUCAUGCUUUCGCCCUGGCCAACUGGCAGUGAACUUGAGUGAAGCUCGUUAUUCUGUAGCUGGCAUCAUACACAGCCUGUUAACAUAAAACAUGUUAUAUUACACUAACAAAAUAAGACAUAUUUUUGUACAUUUUUUCUUAGGUAUUUGAUAAAAUGCUGAUAAAAUGUUUCUUAUUUUGCUAAUGGCAAACUGUUAAAAUUAACAUACAGUUGUUUCAUUAAAUAUUUGUGUUUAAAAUAAAGUUGUAUCAAAGAAAAAGGAUUGCAUUUAGACUUGCACAUAACUGUUAAGCCAUACCUGAACGUUGAUGGUGGGAACGCCCUUUCGCCCUAUGUCAUACAUGCCAUACGUCCCGAUCUCGGCGGGACAGUCCCGCUUUUGGGCCCUUUGUCCCGCCGUCCCGAUAUGAGACGAUUUGUCCCGACAUAGGGCCUAUGUAGACUUCUACAUGGUUCACUGGCUUCUUGAUAUGCACAUGCGUCCAAUCGAUGCACCCCAAAGUACUUGUAAAACCGGAAAGUUGAUCAUUUAAAAUUGACCCAUUUUUUGGAAAACUUACGAUAUUAAUAAGUAAAUAGAUAUUGAUAUAAAUGGAUUGUGAUCGGUGCAUGUAUGUGCAUUAUAUUGAAUGAAAGUUCUGCCUUAUGUCAGAAGUGAUGCAAUAUGCUGAUGUGUCUCAACUUGAUAAUCAAAAAUAAUGUCAUCGUUUUACUAUUGAUUGAAAAUGCAAUAAUAUGUGCAUUUGAGAAUAAAAUAUUAUUUCUGUU